AACCCUUACAAAAUUGACGCCAAAUGU
rnacentral:piRNA from 1 species